rnacentral:rRNA from 1 species
AUGCUCGGCAAGAUCUUUGCCCGGCUGCCAGUCAAGUCAGUUGGCCGCUUCCGGUGCCUGUCGCGCUUGUGGGCCGCCUCACUCUCAUCGGCCUCCUUCGUCGACCUCCACCACCAGCAAGCGAACCACCACCACCACCAGCAGCGGUCGGCAGGCACGCCGCCCAAUCUCUUCUUCACGACCGCGCAGCGCUGCCUCCACGCGUGGUGGUGGCGGUGGCACGACGAGGAUGGUCUGCCAGUAAUGCAACGGCAGACCGGCGCGAUGGCGCUCUCUCUUCUUCCGCAGCUGGACAGCGAGUCAGCGACCAUGCUCUCCGGGUGCUCAUCCCAAAGCCUUGCCACGGUCUUGUCCUGCUCCACCGCUGGCCCUAUCAUGGUCACUACGUGUGCAACCCGAGCACCGGCACACUCUGGUGUCUUCCGGACACCAAAAUACCGAGCAGGAUGUGCUGGUGGUACAACUACAGCCUACCGGGCACAUACGUAA